GAUGUCGGUUUCCGUAAGGAAUGAAAAGGGAAUUCGCCGCCGGCCUGUCCGGCGAAACGAAACUGCCCCCGCAACUGUAGGCGAUGAGCGUGAAGCCAAAUGCCACUGUGGUUUUCGAGCCAUGGGAAGGCGCCACACGCCACGAUCCGUCAGUCAGGAGACCUGCCGACAC
rnacentral:ncRNA from 1 species